UACGUAGGGUGCGAGCGUUAAUCGGAAUUACUGGGCGUAAAGCGUGCGCAGGCGGUUCGUUGUGUCGGUGGUGAAAUCCCCGGGCUUAACCUGGGAAUGGCCAUGGAAACUGGCGAACUGGAGUGCGGCAGAGGGGGGUGGAAUUCCGACGUGUAGCAGUGAAAUGCGUAGAUAUGUGGAGGAACACCGAUGGCGAAGGCAGCCCCUGGGCCAAUACUGACGCUCAGGCACGAAAGCGUGGGGAGCAAACAGG
rnacentral:rRNA from 1 species